rnacentral:rRNA from 1 species
AAUAGAUACCCGGUAGUCCACGCCGUAAACGAUGAGUGCUAAGUGUUAGAGGGUUUCCGCCCUUUAGUGCUGCAGCUAACGCAUUAAGCACUCCGCCUGGGGAGUACGGUCGCAAGACUGAAACUCAAAGGAAUUGACGGGGGCCCGCACAAGCGGUGGAGCAUGUGGUUUAAUUCGAAGCAACGCGAAGAACCUUACCAGGUCUUGACAUCCUCUGACAACUCUAGAGAUAGAGCGUUCCCCUUCGGGGGACAGAGUGACAGGUGGUGCAUGGUUGUCGUCAGCUCGUGUCGUGAGAUGUUGGGUUAAGUCCCGCAACGAGCGCAACCCUUGAUCUUAGUUGCCAGCAUUCAGUUGGGCACUCUAAGGUGACUGCCGGUGACAAACCGGAGGAAGGUGGGGAUGACGUCAAAUCAUCAUGCCCCUUAUGACCUGGGCUACACACGUGCUACAAUGGAUGGUACAAAGGGCUGCAAGACCGCGAGGUCAAGCCAAUCCCAUAAAACCAUUCUCAGUUCGGAUUGUAGG